rnacentral:rRNA from 1 species
ACGUAGGGUGCAAGCGUUAAUCGGAAUUACUGGGCGUAAAGCGUGCGCAGGCGGUUAUGUAAGACAGGCGUGAAAUCCCCGGGCUCAACCUGGGAAUUGCGCUUGUGACUGCAUAACUAGAGUACGGUAGAGGGGGAUGGAAUUCCGCGUGUAGCAGUGAAAUGCGUAGAUAUGCGGAGGAACACCAAUGGCGAAGGCAGUCCCCUGGACCUGUACUGACGCUCAUGCACGAAAGCGUGGGGAGCAAACAGG